UACGGGGGGGGCAAGCGUUGUUCGGAAUUACUGGGCGUAAAGGGCUCGUAGGCGGCCAACUAAGUCAGACGUGAAAUCCCUCGGCUUAACCGGGGAACUGCGUCUGAUACUGGAUGGCUUGAGGUUGGGAGAGGGAUGCGGAAUUCCAGGUGUAGCGGUGAAAUGCGUAGAUAUCUGGAGGAACACCGGUGGCGAAGGCGGCAUCCUGGACCAAUUCUGACGCUGAGGAGCGAAAGCCAGGGGAGCAAACGGGAU
rnacentral:rRNA from 1 species